GCUACCUUCUCCUUUGUUGAAUCUCCUCUUUGGUUCGAAUUUCUUUCUUCUCAUGAACUUUUUGAAUCUUCUUGCAAUCAUCACCUUCUCUUCAUCUUCAUCCGAAUCCUCUUCGAAAUCACUUUCUACAUCUUAAAUGGUGAUGGCCAUGAGUGCUAUACUCUUCUUCUUUUUCAUUUCUUCUUCCUUGCCUUGGUUCAAGUUGA
rnacentral:lncRNA from 1 species